rnacentral:rRNA from 1 species
UACGGAGGGUGCGAGCGUUGUCCGGAAUCACUGGGCGUAAAGGGCGCGUAGGUGGCCUGUGGAAGUCUGCGGUGAAAGCCCGGCGCUCAACGCCGGGUCGGCCGUGGAUACUCUCGGGCUCGAGCUUACUAGAGGCAGAUGGAAUUCCGGGUGUAGCGGUGGAAUGCGUAGAGAUCCGGAAGAACACCGGUGGCGAAGGCGGUCUGCUGGGGUAAUGCUGACACUGAUGCGCGACAGCGUGGGGAGC